rnacentral:tRNA from 1 species
AGGCGAGUAGCUCAAUUUGGCAGAGCACCGGUCUCCAAAACCGGGGGUUGUGGGUUCAAUUCCUGCCUCGCCUG